rnacentral:lncRNA from 1 species
ACUGUUUCCAACCAGGAGGGAGACCGUGGAAUUAAGGGCGAUCCUGGACCACUGGGGCCUCCAGGAUGGGGACACUUGGGUCCCAAGGGUAUUAUGGGACGUAAAGGCUUGCCUGGUCUACCUGGCUCCCCGGCACCAGCAUACAAGGAGAAAAGGGAGAAAAAGGAAGUAAAGGUUUUCCUGGACCAAAGGGAUCAAUAGGAACUGGCCUUCCUGGACAAAAGGUAAAUCCUAGGUUUGCAGUAAGGAAAGAGAAGGGUGUUUUCUUUCUUCAUUGGUUAUUUGGUGUGACAGCUCCUUGAAGA